rnacentral:rRNA from 1 species
UACGUAGGGUGCAAGCGUUGUCCGGAAUUAUUGGGCGUAAAGAGCUCGUAGGCGGUUUGUCGCGUCUGCUGUGAAAACCCGAGGCUCAACCUCGGGCCUGCAGUGGGUACGGGCAGACUAGAGUGCGGUAGGGGAGAUUGGAAUUCCUGGUGUAGCGGUGGAAUGCGCAGAUAUCAGGAGGAACACCAAUGGCGAAGGCAGAUCUCUGGGCCGUAACUGACGCUGAGGAGCGACAGCGUGGGGAGCAAACAGG